rnacentral:rRNA from 1 species
UACGUAGGGUGCGAGCGUUAAUCGGAAUUACUGGGCGUAAAGCGCAGGUAGGCGGUUUGAUAAGUCUCUUGUGAAAGCUCCCGGCUUAACUGGGAGAGGUCAAGGGAAACUAUCAGGCUAGAGUGUGGCAGAGGAAACUGGAAUUCCUGGUGUAGCGGUGAAAUGCGCAGAUAUCAGGAGGAACACCGAUUGCGAAGGCAGCUCGCUGGGACGUAACUGACGCUGAGACGCGAAAGCGUGGGGAGCAAACAGG